UCAAACUUGGUCAUUUAGAGGAAGUAAAAGUCGUAACAAGGUCUCCGUUGGUGAACCAGCGGAGGGAUCAUUACCGAGUUUACAACUCCCAAACCCAUGUGAACCUUACCUAUAGUUGCUUCGGCGGAUCGCCCCGGGCGCCUUGUGUGCCCCGGAUCCAGGCGCCCGCCGGGGGACCUUAACUCUUGUUUUUUUUGGUAUCUCUGAGUGAUUUUAUUAAAUAAAUAAAAACUUUCAACAACGGAUCUCUUGGUUCUGGCAUCGAUGAAGAACGCAGC
rnacentral:misc_RNA from 1 species